AAGGUUUUGGAGUUUCAGUAGCGAUGGUUGUAGUGGCCAAAAUCAAAGUAUGCUAGUCUGAACGUAUAAUUAACCGAACCUCCUUGAAUGAAUCACAGUCUCAAAUGUCCGGACGGUAACAGAAUGACAGUUAUGUAUGUGAUCACCAAACUCGGAGAUGUCGGCGAGAGUUCUGGGAAGAGUUCUCUUUUCUUUGUUUGUAGUGCAUCCACCCUCUGGAAUCGGCUUGUCCGGAUAUAGGGGGCUAGCCUCCUUAAAGCACAACCCUUCUUGUGGUGCCUGGAACGUUCCUGUCAGCCCUUGAAAAUCCGAGCCAGGCAGUAUAAUUUUCGUGGCACGCCGUACCCAUAUCCGCAGCAGAU
rnacentral:ncRNA from 1 species